rnacentral:rRNA from 1 species
AAUAUUGGACAAUGGGGGCAACCCUGAUCCAGCCAUGCCGCGUGUGUGAAGAAGGUCUUCGGAUUGUAAAGCACUUUAAGUUGGGAGGAAGGGCUUUAGGCUAAUACCCUGAAGUUUUGACGUUACCUACAGAAUAUGCACCGGCUAUGUGUGUGCCAUUAGCCGCGGUAAUACAGAGGGUGCAAGCGUUUAGAGGAAUUACUGGGCGUAAAGCGCGCGUAGGUGGUUCAGUAAGAUGGGUGUGAAAUCCCCGGGCUUAACCUGGGAACUGCUUUCAUAACUGCUGAGCUAGAGUACGGUAGAGGGUAGUGGAAUUUCCUGUGUAGCGGUGAAAUGCGUAGAUAUAGGAAGGAACACCAGUGGCGAAGGCGACUACCUGGACUGAUACUGACACUGAGGUGCGAAAGCGUGGGGAGCAAACA